AGUGAACGCUGGCGGUAGGCCUAACACAUGCAAGUCGAACGGCAGCACAGUAAUAGCUUGCUCUUACGGGUGGGGAGUGGCGGACGGGUGAGGAAUACAUCGGAAUCUACUUUUUCGUGGGGGAUAACGUAGGGAAACUUACGCUAAUACCGCAUACGACCUACGGGUGAAAGCAGGGGAUCUUCGGACCUUGCGCGAUUGAAUGAGCCGAUGUCGGAUUAGCUAGUUGGCGGGGUAAAGGCCCACCAAGGCGACGAUCCGUAGCUGGUCUGAGAGGAUGGUCGGCCACACUGGAACUGAGCCACGGUCCAGACUCCUACGGGAGGCAGCAGUGGGGAAUAUUGGACAAUGGGCGCAAGCCUGGUCCAGCCAUACCGCGUGGGUGAAGAAGGCCUUCGGGUUGUAAAGCCCUUUUGUUGGGAAAGAAAAGCAGCAGGUUAAUACCCCGCUGUUCUGACGGUACCCAAAGAAUAAGCACCGGCUAACUUCGUG
rnacentral:rRNA from 1 species